rnacentral:rRNA from 1 species
UACGUAGGGUGCAAGCGUUGGUCCGGAAUUAUUGGGCGUAAAGGGUGCGUAGGCGGUCUGACAAGUCUGAUGUGAAAUCUAUGGGCUCAACCCAUAGUCUGCAUCGGGAAAACUGUCGGGCUUGAGUAUGGGAGAGGUGAGUGGAAUUUCCGGUGUAGCGGUGAAAAUGCGUAGAUAUCGGAAGGAACACCUGUGGCGAAAGCGGACUCACUGGACCAUUACUGACGCUGAGGCACGGAAAAGCUAAGGGGAG